UCCCUGAUGGCUCAGUUGGUAAAGAAUCUGCCUGCAACGCAGGAGACCUAGGUUUGAUCUCUGGGUCAGGAAG
rnacentral:tRNA from 1 species